rnacentral:rRNA from 1 species
UACGAAGGGGAGCUAGCGUUGCUCGGAAUCACUGGGCGUAAAGGGCGCGUAGGCGUACUUUUAAGUCGGGGGUGAAAGCCCAGGGCUCAACCCUGGAAUUGCCUUCGAUACUGAGAGUCUUGAGUUCGGAAGAGGUUGGUGGAACUGCGAGUGUAGAGGUGAAAUUCGUAGAUAUUCGCAAGAACACCAGUGGCGAAGGCGGCCAACUGGUCCGAUACUGACGCUGAGGCGCGAAAGCGUGGGGAGCAAACAGG